GAUCGGCUCCUCUCAACAGAAUCUCACGAUGAAGUGAACUAAUAUUCUUCAGCAAACCAUUGGCCCUUGGUUACUUUGUGUCCAACUGCCAAAGCGGGUCCCUUACCUGACUGGUAAUGGUCCAGCGUGUCCUCAAGCACAAUAUCAUGUGUCCUCUUUUUCUUAAGGCCUCUUUGCACCUCCACGUGCCUUCAGUGCAAUCUGAUGAGCUGCUUCACAGUAAACACUCCCACCCACUUGACUCAAAUCAAACUUCAGAUGUCCUCAGGUUUGUUUUGGAACAGUACAAUGCACUCUCCUGGCUAACCUGUGACCCUGCAACCCAGGACAGACGCUCAUGUCUCCCAAUUCAUUUUGUGGUGCUGAAUCAGUUAUAUAACUUUAUCAUGAAUAUGCUGUGAUCUUCAUUUGAUGGAACUGGGCAAGAAAAAAAACAAUAAGAAGCAAAAUAUUUCGCUGCAAGAUUAAGUUAUAAUGAUCUUCUCAGUGAAAGUCAUUUGUGAUGGGGUCUCAUUCUUAUUAAUUCAACAAAUAUUGUUUUGACUUGGAGGAGGGGCUAUAAACCCUGCUAUUUUUCAUUGACUGUACUUUGAACUCUUUAGGUUGAUGACUAAUUAUACAAAACAUAUUAUAACAUUUCGUAGCAGAAUUUACUUUUUCCCCCAGUCACAGUAUUUGUGAAAAAGUAAUGAAGCCAUAGUACCUAGUCAUGUUAAAUGAAUAAUAAAAGCAUGGAGAGGGAAACAUGAGGAACAAUGAAUUUCAACAUAUGGCUUCAGAACAUCAAGAUGUUCUUGUAUCGGAUUAUAGUAUCUAGUAUUCAAAAAAUGCCUGCAUCUCUUAUUUAUUGUAAGUUUUUAAAUGUAUAAAUUGUCUUAUAUUUCUUAACCUCUUUUAUAAAAAUUUUCCUAGAAGGUUUAUACUGCCUUCUUGCUUUAAAGCAAUUGGUCUAAAAUAUAUGUAAUCGUCUUAAUUAAAAAGUUGCAGUAGGGUUGCUUUUAGAGUAUUAUUUUUUUGUAAGGGGGUGGGUGGGAGUAAAUUUGUAUUGUUUUGAUGUACAGUUUAAGGGGAUAGAGGGGAAUAAUGUCCAUACCAUUGUGUGUGGAGGAUUUACAGCUAAGCUGUAGUUGCAGAGUACAUGUACAGUAAUGAAGUUCACUGUGUUUAUAAAUUGAAAAGGUACCGGGUCUUACAGCAUUUUAUAUAUCACACCUUUACAGAAUAACAUGAUGGCAAUAUACAAGUGAUAUUGUUAGGUGGUUUAACUUAGAAUAAAAUGAGAAUUCUUGAGUUAUAUUUUGUACUAUGAUUUAGGGCUAUGACUAAUAUUUCAGGCCAUUUUCAGUGAAAGGAACUUAGUUUUACAAGAAAAACAUUUGCUACUGAAUGCUUAAACUAAUUUUGGUGUUAAUGUUACAUGCUUAAAUUUUUUUCAGUUUUAACAGUGGCACAUUUAGGCAUGGGAAUAUUAUUAAUUAUGAAAAUUAUCUUCAGAAUCUGCUAUAAGGUUGAAAUUUAGCCCAGCUCUAGGCAUUUUACAAAUUAUUUUUAAGAGCAGUAACUCUUUGAUGAUUUUUUUUAAUUAAAGAUUGGGAAUGUAUGAGAGUAUGCAUUGUAUGGGUGUGUGUGUGCAAUCAAACUGUGGUGUAAAUAGAUUCUCAGUGAAUUUUGGUAUUCAUAUUCUAUUCCACUAGUUAAUGAACCAUUUCCUAAACUUAAUCUGUCUUUUUAUUUAUUUAAUUUUCUCAGUUUGGAGAUGGCAGUCCCAAACACCAGAGUCUAUACUUUUCUGUAACACAACUCAGAUUAAGGUAGGGCAUAUGCCAAGGAGGUUCUCACCUCCCUAAAGAAGGGACUUGAAUUUUAGGGACUUUAAUUCACCCCUUCCUUCAAUACAACUUCCCCCUUCUUGUUUGCACAUGCCAGGAUAACUGCUUUUAUGCAAGCUUUACCCCCUUUAAUCCUUCUACAGUGCUGCUCACCAGAGAGUCCAAGUUAGCCCCCUACCUUUGCUGCUGACUUGAAUUCACAGUCACCAAGUCUACCUGUCUUUCUUGGAAGCAGUCUAACAAAAUUCUGAAUUUGUAUGUUCAUUAAUUCUCUAAAAAGACAAAUCAAUUGUAUUUGCAAAACUAAUUUUUUAACUGAAACUUGUUUUGUAGAUACUGUAUGCCUAGCUUAAAUAUCAACUUUCUUAUGAACAAUAUAACAUUCAAAUUGUGUAAAUUAAAACAUUAGCGAGUCUCCUUUUUUCUAUAGAGAAAACACAAUUGGUGGCAAAGUUUUUCAAUCACUUCCUCAAAAUUAUAAUGCAAUCCCAGUAGUAAGCAUAUUUUGAAAGUAAAAUUUAAAGAUCACAUUUCUGUGUUCAUUUUUAAAUUAUGCUAACAUCAAGAUUAUGUUGGCAUGUUUUGUUAUAUACUUUUAAAAAAACUUGUCUGAGAUUUGAAGGAAAAAGCUGCUUAAUUGGAAUUUAUAUUAAAAGUAUUCUUUUUUAUAUACUUAGUUUCAUAGUGACUUUAAAAAAAAUAAAAGCUAUAUCCCCAAUUGUUUAAAAUCACUAGCCUAUAGUAACCAUAUCUUGGAUUGAGAUAGAUUUUAAAAUAAUUAUUCCCUGACAGUUUCUUUUACAUGGAGCCAUAUGGAAGGAAAAUAAUAUAUAAUUCCUUUUUUCUAGGAAUCAGGGAAUACUCUCAAAUAUAAAGGAUUUAUUAUUAGUAUUAUUUUCUCUUUGAAUAUAACUUCCCAUUCAAAUAUAAAAUUAUUACAUAGUCAUUAGAAAAGGUCAGGAGACUUAGAAAAUUAAAACAAGCCUUUAUGCAGGAUGAUGGAUCUGACUUACUAACAUACUGUCACAGACAAGUAUGGGUAGUUUUGUUUGGUUUUGUUUAAAUAGGUAAGCAAAAUAAUAUGUUUUAUACCAGUUGAUCACCAACACUUUAAUUCUUGCUAGUGUCUGUUUUUUGUGCAGUUAUCCAUUACAAAGCAGGGUGGAAUUUCAGUAUUUGGGCAGUUAGAAUAAUUUUUUUUUAUAUAAUGUCUGCUUCCAGCCAGUGAGAAACAUCUAGCCAUACCUUUCUUAUGCAAGCCAUUCAGUUAUCAGGACUGUGAAUUAACACUGUAUGAAUAAAUUUCUGUACACCUUAUUGUUUGGCCAGAAGGCCACCAAGUGUACUUAUAUGUAAUCCUUAAAUUUUAAAGUAGCUGUAAUUUUUAAAUCUUUCUAAACUUUUCUUAAACCACUAAAAUUAAGCUCUUACUAGUCAAUUAUCCUCAACUGUAUUCGUACUCAAUUGUCAGUAUGGCACAGAUUACUGUAUUAAAAUAUUCUCCUUUCGUCUUCAUAUUUACCUUCUGAGGUAAUUUUUAACUUAAUGUGUUACUACAAAGAUUUGCAGAUCUUUAAUCAAGCACUAUGUUAAUACUGUAAUAUCAAAAUAGUAUGUUGCAUUAUUUAAAAUGUUCAAAUUGAAUACAUUAAAAGAAAGUUUUUAAGUGCUGUUGCAUCAUAUAAUUUGCUGUUCAUCCACAAUGGCAUUGCAUAUCAGUCUGUUAUACAUUUAGUGUUGCAUGAAUGAUGUUUUGGUCUGGUUUUCCUCUUAAAUUUUAGUUUGUCUAAAUUAAGGGAAAAUGUUUUUUACAUGAAUUUUUGUCUUCUCCCUCUUCCCAACCCCACCCCUCAAUCAGCUGGAAUCUUAACCUUUUGGUUUUUCUUGGUGUUUUAAGGGCCCAGAACUGUGGUUUAAAUUUUUAUAUAGACAUAUGUUUUCUUUUUGUGGAGUAUUAAUUUAAAAAACUGGAUUUGGGACCUAAAAUACUCCUCAGGUUGAUGUAUUCACGCAUUAGUUUUCAAAGUAAACUGGAUUUGUGGACCUUAAAGUUACUGAGUUUAAACUACAAAUUGUAACGUCAUUACUGGACAUGUCAGCUUCAACCCUCUCAAAAUAGCUUGGUCACUUUAUGAAGGGGCGUUUUAAAGUUGUUGUUUAGCAGUGACAUUUAAUAUGGUCCAAUUGCUUUUUUUUAACGUGACAAAAUAAGAAAUAAGGAACAAACACUAUUGCUGCCGAAUGCCAUAACACUGAGUUGUACAAAUUGUGAUUGAGGAAAUGAAAAGGUUUAUACUUUUAAAAAAAACAAAAACAAAAAAAAAAACUUCAAAUGGAAUAAAUUAUUCAUGAAGCCUUCA